GGAAGCGUGCCUGAGACAUAAGGGCUACUUUGAUAAAGUAUAUACGGAACCAAUAACAUUCCCGCCUCC
rnacentral:tRNA from 1 species